rnacentral:tRNA from 1 species
AAAAUUUUAUUAUAUAAAGUAUUUUAUAUUUUCAUUAUAAAGGUUAAAAUUUUA